AUUCUCGCAAUUUCUUUCGUAACAGAAGCCCAAAUUCGUCAGUUGGAUUUUUUUAGAGAGAAAAUAAACCGAGAGCGGUCUUUUAGUGAGAGAAAGUUCGUAUUAAAGAGACUUGUGGAGUCUUUGUUCGUGCGAUGCGUGGAGGACAGGUGACACGGCAGAAAUGGCGAGAUCAUAUAGCUCUUCUACAUUCUUCAAAUGGCAGAUCGUGAAGCUUCUCUGCUGCUAUAAACCCUAACUGCUUGAUUCUAUUAGUCUGCUCUAUCUUCAUCUUUUUUCUGUAUUACACACUCGAGAGAACUAAUCUUUCGAUUCUGUACAUACUCAGGAAUGGCGGAGGUGGCAAAACUGCUGUAUAUAGUGGUGGUGGACGAGGAGGAGAGGAACGAGAAAGGGAAAGAUUCAUUCCGAUAUACGCGUCCGGUUUUGCAGAGCUCUCUGCAACUCAUGGGAUGUAAAGCGCGUCACGCUUUCAAGAUUAGCCAAAGGGUUUUUGAGCUGAUGAGAAAUGAACCUUCAGGUGAUGCUCUACUUCCUGAAGAAGUGGAAGUAAGUGGGGUUGAUGUUUCAAAAGGAAAUGGGCAGAAGGAAUAUGGAAGCAGGAGUUCAUUUGAAUUGUACAAAAGGCGUACAACUGUAAUGGUUAGAAGAGAGGCUUUCUUAAAUGUUGUUUGCGAUUCUCUGACUGAAUAUAAGUAUGUGGGUCCUAACCAGAGGGCAGACUUGGUUUUGGCAUGCAGAAUUCGAGAAAGGAAGGAAUCUGUAACUGUGCUAUUGUGUGGUACUAGUGGCUGUGGCAAAUCUACUUUGUCUGCAUUGCUGGGUAGUAGACUAGGAGUUACAACAGUAAUUUCUACUGACUCUAUUCGGCACAUGAUGAGGAGUUUUGUUGAUGAGAAGCAAAAUCCUCUGCUCUGGGCUUCAACAUACCAUGCAGGGGAAUUUUUGGAUCCUAAGGCAGUUGCAGAAGCCAAGGCUAAAAAAAAGGCAAAAAAAUUGGCUGGUAUUAUAAACUCAUAUUCCAACGAUGAAGUAUCUGAUGGUUCAUCCUUGGUGAAAUCAGAUAGUCAAGCAGUGGAUAUGAGUUCUGGUGUUACUGAGUAUAUUAGUCCUAAACAAAUGGCAGUUGAAGGAUUCAAGGCACAGAGUGAGAUGGUGAUCGACAGUCUUGAUCGUCUAAUAACUGCAUGGGAAGAGAGGAAAGAAUCAGUGGUUGUUGAAGGUGUUCACUUAAGCCUUAAUUUUGUGAUGGGGCUUAUGAAGAAACAUCCUUCAAUUAUACCAUUCAUGAUAUACAUUACAAAUGAAGACAAACACUUGGAACGAUUUGCUGUUCGUGCCAAGUAUAUGACAUUGGACCCAGCUAAAAACAAAUAUGUGAAAUACAUUCGGAACAUCAGAACAAUCCAAGAUUAUCUUUGCAAACGGGCUGAUAAACAUCUUGUCCCCAAAAUCAACAACACAAAUGUUGACAAGAGUGUAGCAGCCAUCCAUGCAACAGUUUUCAGCUGCCUUCGCAGGCGUGAGGCAGGGGAGCCACUUUAUGAUCCUGCCACAAACACAGUGACUGUUGUUGAUGAGGAGUACAGGAACCAGUGUGCUGCCAAUUCAAUGAGCUCUAAAGGGAUGUUUCAACUUAUCCAGAGGAAAGGUUCUUCUAGGCAUUUGAUGGCCCUUGUUAAUACUGAUGGGUCUGUGGCAAGGGCAUGGCCUGUUGAUUCAGUGGAUCUUAGUGGGAAGUCUGUAAUGGGUUAUGGGACCGACAAUGGAAGAGGGAUCCCUAUGUAUGGACCAUUACAGGUUGGUAAGGCUGAACCAGUUAAUCUUCAGUUUGGCCACUUCGGAAUCAGCGCUUGGCCCAGUGAUGGUGGUACCAGUCAUGCUGGAAGUGUUGAUGAGUCAAGGGCGGACUGGACUGAUACUGGAAGUAAAUAUCACUCUUCUUGUUGUAGCUCACCUCGGAUGUCUGAUGGACCUGCGAAGGAGCUCAAGGAGGAACAUUCAGUGCAUGGCAGUGAUGAAGAAGUAGAUGAUCCACCAGAGGUGGAUAGUGAUGAGGAUUAUAGUGAUGAUGGUGAUAAACAUGUCCAUGAAGAGGUGUGUGCCAGAAUAUUUAUUAAAUAAUUAAUUAGGUUUAUCAAAAUCUGAGAAUUUCUCUCAUCAUUUCUAAGAGAAGAAAAUUGCUGAGAACCACUGAAAUUUGGUGUAUUCACACUAUCCUCCCAAACAACCUUGCGCUCAUAAAAGUAAACUUGUAGUCAAACUCGUAAAGCUCGAAACUUAUCCAUUACUACUGGAACAAUGUCUUGCACUUUAUGUUAAUCCUUAUUUUGAAUUUCUGGAAUUGAUAUUGAACAGAUUGGCUCAGUUGACGAGGAGUCCACAAAAUCUGAUGAGGAGUACGAUGAUCUAGCAAUGCAGGAUGUGCUACAGAAUGGGUAUUGUUCAGAUGACGAUGAGGAGUCCAAAGAUAAGGUUCUGCCUAUUACUGUUAAUAAGGCAAACCCGUUGAAAGGCGAUAAAUAUAUGCAGAAUCUAGACCGGUUCCUUAGAACUAGAAGUGAGCCACUGGGUGAGCCAUUAUGCUCGUUUUACUCUUCUCUGCUCGUGGAAAAGGGAGGAAGAAGAUUGUCAAACGCUGGUAGUGUUAAAACCAGAAAACGCUCCCUCAGCAUUCCAGCCAUGGGAAAACAUGGGUCCGUGGCUAGUGGCCCAAUACUAUCUGGAACUCCACAGAGGUAGUAGAUCAAUUUUGUGCCAACUUCUAGUUUUCCACCCAUUUUAUUUUGCCUCCUAACUUUGUAGCUGAGAGUGAUCUGGCGAUUGCCCAUCAUUGUCUAUAGUAAUGCGAGGUACUAUUGUAAGAUUUGGAAUGACUUCGAUUUAUUUUCUGUGUAAGCAAUCAAGCCAAAUGGAAAUGGUUCUAAUAAAUUAUAAAACAGCUGUGCUUUUGUGACCUUUGCUUUGCAAGUGCUAGGUGGCAUAGCUUUGUGGAAUCCUUCCAUAAAUUGAUAGGAAAUGUUCAACAAAGCAACCAGAAUAUUUUGAGAUUAGCUAACUUG
rnacentral:misc_RNA from 1 species